CCCGCGAUAGCUCAGUUGGUAGAGCGGAGGACUGUAGUGGUAAAAAUAUACUGUUAUCCUUAGGUCACUGGUUCAAAUCCGGUUCGCGGGA
rnacentral:tRNA from 1 species